GGCAGUUCUCAGGUGAUGCACCCCGGAAUUGGGCUCCCUCCUCUCUGGUUCCGGGUGCCUUACUGGAAAACUGCA
rfam:Myotis lucifugus cont2.8688, whole genome shotgun sequence.